GACGAACGCUGGCGGCGUGCCUAAUACAUGCAAGUCGAACGCAGUGGGUACGGGUGAGUAAAACGUGGGGAACCUCCCAUCAGAGGGGAUAACACUUGGAAACAGGUGCUAAAACGAUACUGAUGGAUGGACCCGCGGUGCAUUAGCUAGUUGGUGAGGUAACGGCUCACCAAGGCCACGAUGCAUAGCCGACCUGAGAGGGUGAUCGGCAACAAUGGGACUGAGACACGGACCAGACUCCUACGGGAUGCAGCAGUAGGGAAUCUUCGGCAAUGGACGAAAGUCUGAACGAGAAACGCCGCGUGAGUGAAGAAGGGUUUCGGAUCGUAAAACUCUGUUGUUAGAGAAGCGGUAUCUAACCAGAAAGCCACGGCUAACUACGUGCCAGCAGCCGCGGUAAUUC
rnacentral:rRNA from 1 species